rnacentral:lncRNA from 1 species
AUGGCAGAUGACACCUGUGCAGCGAGAGGACCCAGAGGACCUGGAGACCCAGGAUUGGAAGGCUGCAGCUGCUUCCACGGGGGAUUUAGCAGCGGUCAAGGCCGAGGGGCUUGUGGAGGUAAAGCUGAAGACGAGUGGAUCCCUGUCACCAAGAUGGUCCUCCUGGUUAAGGACAUGAAGAUCAAGUUCUUGGAGGAGAUCUACCUGUUUUCCCUACCCAUUACGGAGUUUAGAUCAUUGACUUUUUCCUGGAUGCAUCCCUGAAGGAUGAGGUUCUGAAAAUCAUGCUAGUGCAGAAGCAGAGGCAUUCGUCGCUAUUGGGGACUACAAUGGUCAAGUUGGUCUUGGUGUUAAUUGCUCCAAAGAGGUAGCCACUACCAUCUGAGGGGUCAUCAUCUUGGCCAAGCUUUCCAUUGUCCCUGUGCAGAGAGACUACUGGGGGAACAAGAUUGGCAAGCCCCUCACUGUUCGAUGCAAGGUGACAGGCUGCUGUGGCUCUGUGCUUGUGCUUCUCAUCCCUGCCCCCAGAGGCACUGGCAUUGUCUCUGCUCCUGAUCCCAAGAAGAUAAUGAUGAUGGUCAAUAUAGAUGGUCAAUAUAGAUACAAUUCAGCCAGAGAGGCUGCACUGCCACCUUAGGCAACUUUGCCAAGGCCACCUUUGAUGCCAUCCCCAAGAUCUGCAGUUACCUGAACCCCAACAUCUGGAAACAGACUGUGUUCACCAAGAGUCCUUAUCAGAAAUUCGCUGAUUGUCUUGUGAAAAAUCAAACCAGAGUCUCUGUUCAGAGGACCCAGGCUUCAGCUGUGGCA